rnacentral:rRNA from 1 species
UUCCGGUUGAUCCUGCCGGAGGCUACCGCUAUUGGAGUUCGAUUAAGCCAUGCGAGUCUAGAGGCUUCGGCCUCGGCGUACCGCUCAGUAACACGUGGGUAACCUGCCCUAUGGAGGGGAAUAACCUCGGGAAACUGAGAAUAAUGCCCCAUAGCCCACUACGCCUGGAACGGUGAGUGGGUCAAAGCUCCGGCGCCAUAGGAUGGGCCUGCGCCGUAUCAGGUUGUAGGGGGUGUAAAGUACCCUCUAGCCAUCAACGCGUACGGGUGUUGGGAGACAUUGCCCGGAGAUGGAUUCUGAGACACGAAUCCAGACCCUACGGGGUGCAGCAGGCGCGGAAACUUGGCAAUGCGAGAAAUCGUGACCAGGGAACUCCAAGUGCGUAGGGUAAGACCUACGCUUUUCUUGACUCUUCAAAGGUCUUGGAAUAAGGGGUGGGUAAGGACGGUGCCAGCCGCCGCGGUAAUACCGGCGCCUCAAGUGGUAGUCGCUUUUAUUGGGCCUAAAACGUCCGUAGCCGGUCUGGUGCAUUCGUGGGUAAAUCAACCCGCUCAACGGGUUGAAUUCUGCGAGCACGGCCAGACUUGGGACCGGGAGAGGUGUGGGGUACUCUCAGGGUAGGGGUAAAAUCCUGUCAUCCUGAGAGGACCACCUGUUGCGAAGGCGCCACACUAGAACGGAUCCGACGGUCAGGGACGAAACCU